rnacentral:piRNA from 1 species
UGUGAGUUUGAAACCAACCUGGUGUA